rnacentral:rRNA from 1 species
GUGGGCAAUCUGCCCUUCACUCUGGGACAAGCCCUGGAAACGGGGUCUAAUACCGGAUACACUCUGUCCCGCAUGGGACGGGGUUGAAAGCUCCGGCGGUGAAGGAUGAGCCCGCGGCCUAUCAGCUUGUUGGUGGGGUGAUGGCCUACCAAGGCGACGACGGGUAGCCGGCCUGAGAGGGCGACCGGCCACACUGGGACUGAGACACGGCCCAGACUCCUACGGGAGGCAGCAGUGGGGAAUAUUGCACAAUGGGCGAAAGCCUGAUGCAGCGACGCCGCGUGAGGGAUGACGGCCUUCGGGUUGUAAACCUCUUUCAGCAGGGAAGAAGCGAAAGUGACGGUACCUGCAGAAGAAGCGCCGGCUAACUACGUGCCAGCAGCCGCGGUAAUACGUAGGGCGCAAGCGUUGUCCGGAAUUAUUGGGCGUAAAGAGCUCGUAGGCGGCUUGUUGCGUCGGUUGUGAAAGCCCGGGGCUUAACCCCGGGUCUGCAGUCGAUACGGGCAGGCUAGAGUGUGGUAGGGGAGAUCGGAAUUCCUGGUGUAGCGGUGAAAUGCGCAGAUAUCAGGAGGAACACCGGUGGCGAAGGCGGAUCUCUGGGC